rnacentral:rRNA from 1 species
AUACCCUAUUAUUUUAAGUGUUAAUUUUGCUUACCUGGGUAUUAUUAGCUAAGAUCUUUAAACCCAAAGAAUUUGGCGGUAUCUCAUUCCAUUCAGAGGAACCUACCCCGUAAUUGAUAAUACACGAUUAACUUUACUUAAUUUAUUUGUUUGUAUAUCUCCGUUAUCAGAAAAUCUUAUUGGAGUUAUAAUUUUCUUGAUUUAUAAUUAUAAAAUAUUUCAGGUCAAGGUGCAGCUUAUAAUUAAGAGGAGGUGGGUUACAAUAAAUUUUUGUUUAUUAUGGAUUUAAUAGUUAAAUACUAUUAAUGAAGGUGGAUUUGAUAGUAAUUUAAUUUAGUUAAGUUAAUUGAUAUUGGCUCUGAGGUGUGUACACAUCGCCCGUCGCUCUCA